rnacentral:rRNA from 1 species
UACGGAGGGUGCAAGCGUUAUCCGGAUUCACUGGGUUUAAAGGGUGCGUAGGCGGCGCGGUAAGUCGGGUGUGAAAUCUCGGGGCUUAACUCCGAAACUGCAUUCGAUACUGCCGUGCUUGAGGACUGGAGAGGAGACUGGAAUUUACGGUGUAGCGGUGAAAUGCGUAGAUAUCGUAAGGAAGACCAGUGGCGAAGGCGGGUCUCUGGACAGUUCCUGACGCUGAGGCACGAAGGCCAGGGGAGCAAACGGG